GAUGAACGCUGGCGGCGUGCCUAAUACAUGCAAGUCGAGCGAACAGACGAGGAGCUUGCUCCUCUGACGUUAGCGGCGGACGGGUGAGUAACACGUGGAUAACCUACCUAUAAGACUGGGAUAACUUCGGGAAACCGGAGCUAAUACCGGAUAAUAUAUUGAACCGCAUGGUUCAAUAGUGAAAGACGGUUUUGCUGUCACUUAUAGAUGGAUCCGCGCCGCAUUAGCUAGUUGGUAAGGUAACGGCUUACCAAGGCAACGAUGCGUAGCCGACCUGAGAGGGUGAUCGGCCACACUGAAACUGAGACACGGUCCAGACUCCUACGGGAGGCAGCAGGAGGGAAGCUGCCGCAAUGGGCGAAAGCCUGACGGAGCAACGCCGCGUGAGUGAUGAAGGUCUUCGGAUCGUAAAACUCUGUUAUUAGGGAAGAACAAAUGUGUAAGUAACUAUGCACGUCUUGACGGUACCUAAUCAGAAAGCCACGGCUAACUACGU
rnacentral:rRNA from 1 species